GACGAACCGUACGAACGUUAUUCGGAAUCACUGGGCUUAAAGGGUGCGUAGGCGGCGCGACAAGUUGGGUGUGAAAUCCCUCGGCUCAACCGAGGAACUGCGCCCAAAACUGUCGUGCUCGAGGGAGACAGAGGUGAGCGGAAUUCCUGGUGUAGCGGUGAAAUGCGUAGAUAUCAGGAGGAACACCUGCGGUGUAGACGGCUUUCUGGACCAUUGUUGACGCUGAGACACGAAAGCGUGGGUAGCAAACAGG
rnacentral:rRNA from 1 species